GACCGGCCCUUGGCUUAAUGGCUACGGCUCCCGCCUCAUAAGCGGAAGGUUCCGGGUUCGAUUCCCGAUCGGUCU
rnacentral:tRNA from 1 species